CAUCCAUCAUAGAUUUAAAAAGUUGUGUACAUAUAGCUCAAACACAAAAUUAGGAAAAAAAUUAGAUGUUUCUAUUUUGAUUUGUUUCCAGUGAUUUAUCACCGAUGUCAAAAGAAUCAUCGAGGAACUCAGUACUUUUAAUACGAAACAUUCAUCACAGAUUUGAAAAGGUGUGUACGUAUAGCUGAAACACAAAGAUGUGAUGGGGCUUCCGGUCCAAACAACAAUGUCCUUGCUGGUAGUGCAUGCUAGGAUAGUUCUUCUAGUCCAAACAACAAUGUCCUUGCUGCUAGUGCAUGCUAGUUGCCUACAAAAUUGCAAAUGAUGUUCUUCAUAAGUUUAUAAAAUCCAUGAUGUGCUUAUGACAUAUUGGCUCAAACUUAAAAGUUUGUGCAAUUGUUUCAAUUCAAUUACAUGUGCAAAGAAACACCCAUUUCAUACUUCGACUUUGGUUUGGGUUAGAAUACGAUUUUCAGGUGAAAAUUGGAGGAUGCGAAGAAGACUGAAAACUGAUAGCGCCAACACAUCACCUGAUCAGUGCAUACUAGAAUGCCACUUGAUAAACAAUUGUACAAAAAGUAUAUAAUAUGAACAUUGGCUAUGAACACUUAGGAAACAGUUAAAUCUCACUUAGGAAAUGGUAAAAUUUGUUCCUUUGCCUAUGCAGCAAAAGGAGGAAUCUAGGUAUUUAAAACAAAUAAAGAAUCUUCUUUCGGAUACAAAAUCUGUUAUUACAAGAUAGAGCAAUUCAUGAGACAAUAAGAUAAUAAAUACUACCCUAUAGUUCUGUGAACUGUGUACAGUAAUAAUUGUCUUAAAUAAUUUUAACACUGAAAUUAAGAAACUAGGGAACUCUACAAUGUUUCUUAUACAGAAUAACUUUAUAUAGUUGGAUGCAAUAUAGAAAAUGUGAUAUCAAGAUAAAUAAGAUAAAUAAUUGUAGUGUACCAAAUGAACACAUUCUUACAGAGUAGGAACCACUGGGCCAAUUGAUAGCUUCAGAAAGCGCCAGAAAUGUAUUCAUAUUUGCCAUCUCUGAUUGAAGAUCGCCAAAUCUACAGUCACGUCUAUCAGAAUAGUAGAAAUCGAGCCCAACUACCAGCACCAGCUUCCUUGUGGAGAUACCAUCAACAAAUGAACCAUGAGAAGAUCCACGAGAUGUUACUCCAAACAACUAACUGAAAAUAACUACAAAUACGCCGUUGUGCUAAGUGGUGCAUGUAAUUUUCUGAGAAGGUAGCAAACAUUCAAACUAUUUAACCAAAUAGUGUAUGAUAUACUUGGAUCUUAUGCAAUUGUUGUGGGAAAUGGCAGGAGCUAAGGGUCUCUCCUUUCUUGCCGCAACCAUCAGAGGCACCUAGCUGCCUGGUUUUUUCACUGAUGGGCUGGUUUUUGUCUUUUAGGAUCUGUCUUGCUCUUGUUUUUGUUUUUUCUCUUAUUUUCUCUUUGGUUUUCUUAUCCCCUCUGGGGAGGUCUUUUGUACUAUGGUCUAUUUUGGACCCUCUUUUCCUCUACUUAAUAUAAUGAUGCGCAGCUCUCCUGCGCUUUCGAGAAAAAAAAAGGCUUCGUCGAACAAGAAAACAUAGAGGGGAACACACUAAUCGAACUAAAAAUGGGAAGGAGGACGAUUCUUGCACAUUCUCAGAAUUGGAGGAGGACGAUGGUGGGGCAGACGACCGAAUCGAAGGUGGACAAACCUGGCGAUGUCGCUGGCUGGUUGCUGCUUCGCGUAUGGAAACCAGCCGAUGCAAGCAGCCCUCCCUUGGACCAGCCCGACUCUGGUAGCCUAGUGCCUAGCUUCGCGUCUAGCACCGACAAAGCUUGUCACGAGCGUUUCGGCGGCGCUGGGGGAAAUGGUUGCCAUGCGAAUGGAGAGGGAAACCUCCGCGUCAGCGCGGGAUUCACCAGCGACCGAUGUGUAGCGGACGCAUAGAGUCCGCCAAAUUUAGAGGAUGGAAGGCGACGUAAAAUUUAGAGUGCCAUUUACCGGUCAUUGCUGGAGCCUGGAGGCACAGCGAACGUCUGUAUCUGCUAAACUUACCGGACAUGACCAUAUACAGACCCUUUGGGGAGAGUCUGAGUGCCCACUUGAGCAGUCAGUUUGAAGUGAGCAGAAGCCAACGAGCUCAACAUAGCCUGUUCUGAAGGAGCAACUAGAAUUCAUGGAAUCAGCACACACAAUAUAUGAAAAGGAUUUACUGACCUGUGUUGGUAGCACAUGUAGCAUAGCACUAUAGAAAUGAUGUAGUGCACGGAAAUUUGUAUAGUCAAGUAACCUUCACUCACACUGCAUGAUUAAUAACACAGACUUAAUAUAAUAGGAUGUAUUAGCACAAUUAUCUAGAAUAGCAACAAGCGAACUCCAUACCUGAAUGGAUAUGUUAUGUACGGCUAGGCCUAUACUAGACGCAACAGGGCCUCAGGAUAGGGCCCAAGGCCCAUAGUUCAUACUUAUCUAGAUAGUUUAGUUCAUACUUAUCUAGAUAGCUAGCUUUCUUAUAAAUACUUGUAAGACACCUUGGGAUUAUUUAAGCAGAAAUAAGAUUGUUUCCGGCUUCCUUUAGGGAGUCAGGAUUCCUCCAGUUGUAGCCCUAGCCGCCACCUCUAGCCCUAGCCAGCCGCCCCUGUGGGCUGCGCCGUCAACUAAGGCGCUAGCUCGGCGUUCGUCGCGCUUCAAGCCUCGACCCCCAAUCUCCCACCGCUACAACCUACGACCAGCAAGGCUAGAGGAUUUGGUACAUAAUAGGAUAACUUGAUGGAAAAAAAUUGUUCAAGAAAGAAUCAACAAGUUUGCCAUGUAUAGAUCUAGAAUCCUAAAUAACUUUUAUCGGGAGGAAAACAAGAGUUAUUGAAUAAUGGCAAAUUAAAUAAAACCUUUAGAUAUUAAAGAAGUCAGACUUUACUGAUUUCGCUACACCACCAUGCUUGCACACUUAGGUUAUAUGAUUUUCAUUUCUCUAAGCAAACAUUUAGGCCUUGUUCGUUUGUCUAGGAAUGGACCAGGAAUCAAUCCAGCUGACCAAAAAUCAUAUAAGUAAGAGAAACAAACCGGCUAGGAAUUGUUCCAUGCCUCCAUUCCGGAAGAAACGAACGGCCCCUUAGUGGUUUUAUUUCAGGUAUCAAGCUGUACAUUUCUGAGGUACAGCGAGAGAAAUCAAGGCCUAUAGAUAUGUGUGCCAUUGACUCAUUGAGGCAAAUCACAGCAUAGCAGCUCAGCCUUAGAUACUGUGAUUAGUAUUUAAUCAAUCUCCAUGAUCUGUAGUGCAAUUUUCAAACUCCAGCUGGCAUAACCAUUCUGAAGUUAUAUAUAAUAAUAGAGGUGACAAAAGACAUGGGUUCAUCAAUAACUAGAACAUGUUCAAGCAGGCAAACCAUUUGGCUACCCAACAACAAUGUUUGAAUUGUUGAGACUGAUGGUCUAUCACAUCACUGAUGGCAUUUUGCAAAAGGCAAAACACCGACCAAUCACAAAACCUUUUAACACAAAACCUUUUAACACACAACAACUAAAGCAAUCAGGAGAAUUCUAGUGCCUAGGUAAAAUGCACCGCUCCCAUUUCCCCCUCUUCUCUUCCUUUGUUUAAUAGAAGUGAUAGUGUGGGAUUCAGGAAAUUAAGAGUUCCAGGUAAAAGAGAAGGCUUACAUAGACACUGCCGCUACCACUGCCAACGGCGUCGAAGCUGCAGAGUCAGUGGCCGAUGUGCAGAUGACAGGAGGCGAGGUUGCGAGGCGAUUGGAGAGACGCGGGAGUGGGGGGUGUCGCGAGGCAGACGUGGAGUCUGGGAUUGCGCCGCCGUCGUCACUGCGUGCCGAGGGCGACUCGGGGAGGGAGCGGAAGCCAGCGAGGAUCCAGGACAACAGCGGUGACGCGGGAGACACUCCAGGACACGGCGCGACGACAGGCGCAGCCAAGGCGAGGCUGCGGCGGUGGUUUUCGCG
rnacentral:lncRNA from 1 species